rnacentral:miRNA from 1 species
CCUGGGCUUGUUCACUCACCAGAGA